rnacentral:rRNA from 1 species
UGCAAGUCGAACGGAAAGGCCCUGCUUGCAGGGUACUCGAGUGGCGAACGGGUGAGUAACACGUGGGUGAUCUGCCCUGCACUUUGGGAUAAGCUUGGGAAACUGGGUCUAAUACCGGAUAGGAACCAUCUUUAGUGAGGUGGUUGGAAAGUUUUUUCGGUGUAGGAUGAGCUCGCGGCCUAUCAGCUUGUUGGUGGGGUAAUGGCCUACCAAGGCGGCGACGGGUAGCCGGCCUGAGAGGGUGUACGGCCACAUUGGGACUGAGAUACGGCCCAGACUCCUACGGGAGGCAGCAGUGGGGAAUAUUGCACAAUGGGCGCAAGCCUGAUGCAGCGACGCCGCGUGGGGGAUGAAGGCCUUCGGGUUGUAAACUCCUUUCGCUAGGGACGAAGCUUUUUGUGACGGUACCUAGAUAAGAAGCACCGGCUAACUACGUGCCAGCAGCCGCGGUAAUACGUAGGGUGCGAGCGUUGUCCGGAAUUACUGGGCGUAAAGGGCUCGUAGGUGGUUUGUCGCGUCGUCUGUGAAAUUCUGGGGCUUAACUCCGGGCGUGCAGGCGAUACGGGCAUAACUUGAGUGCUGUAGGGGUAACUGGAAUUCCUGGUGUAGCGGUGAAAUGCGCAGAUAUCAGGAGGAACACCGAUGGCGAAGGCAGGUUACUGGGCAGUUACUGACGCUGAGGAGCGAAAGCAU